rnacentral:rRNA from 1 species
CCUACGGGUGGCAGCAGUGGGGAAUAUUGGGCAAUGGGCGCAAGCCUGACCCAGCAACGCCGCGUGCAGGAAGAAGGCUUUCGGGUUGUAAACUUCUUUUGUCAGGGACGAAGCAAGUGACGGUACCUGACGAAUAAGCCACGGCUAACUACGUGCCAGCAGCCGCGGUAAUACGUAGGUGGCAAGCGUUAUACGGAUUUACUGGGUGGAAAGGGCGUGUAGGCGGGACUGCAAGUCAGAUGUGAAAACCACGGGCUCAACCUGUGGCCUGCAUUUGAUACUGUAGUUCUUGAGUACUGGAGAGGCAGACGGAAUUCGUAGUGGAGCGGUGAAAUGCGUAGAUAUUAGGAGGAACACCAGUGGCGAAGGCGGUCUGCUGGACAGCAACUGACGCUGAGGGGCGAAAGCGUGGGGAGCAAACAGGAUUAGAUACCCCAGUAGUC